UACGUAGGGGGCUAGCGUUGUCCGGAAUCAUUGGGCGUAAAGCGCGCGUAGGCGGCCCGGUAAGUCCGCUGUGAAAGUCCAGGGCUCAACCCUGGAAAGCCGGUGGAUACUGCCGGGCUAGAGUCCGGAAGAGGCGAGUGGAAUUCCUGGUGAGCGGUGGAAUGCGCAGAUAUCAGGAGGAACACCAAUGGCGAAGGCAGCUCGCUGGGACGGUACUGACGCUGAGGCGCGAAAGCGUGGGGAGCGAACAGG
rnacentral:rRNA from 1 species